rnacentral:rRNA from 1 species
GUGUCAGCAGCCGCGGUAAGACAGAGGGUGCAAACGUUGCUCGGAAUCACUGGGCGUAAAGGGCGUGUAGGCGGGAAGAUAAGUCGGGCGUGAAAUCCCUGGGCUCAACCCAGGAACUGCACUCGAAACUGUUUUUCUUGAGUAUCGGAGAGGAAAGCGGAAUUCCUGGUGUAGAGGUGAAAUUCGUAGAUAUCAGGAGGAACACCAGCGGCGAAGGCGGCUUUCUGGACGAUAACUGACGCUGAGACGCGAAAGCGUGGGGAGCAAACAGGAUUAGAAACCCCGGUAGUCC